rnacentral:rRNA from 1 species
UACGUAGGGGGCAAGCGUUGUCCGGAUUUAUUGGGCGUAAAGAGCGUGUAGGCGGUUUGGUAGGUCCGCUGUGAAAACUCGAGGCUCAACCUCGAGACGUCGGCGGAAACCAUCUGGCUAGAGUCCGGAAGAGGAGAGUGGAAUUCCUGGUGUAGCGGUGAAAUGCGCAGAUAUCAGGAAGAACACCCGUGGCGAAAAGCGGCUUCCCUGGACCAGAACUGACGAUCAGGCUCGAAAGCGUGGGGGAGCAAAACAGG